CGGGGUGAGUAACACGUGGAUAACCUACCUAUAAGACUGGGAUAACUUCGGGAAACCGGAGCUAAUACCGGAUAAUAUAUUGAACCGCAUGGUUCAAUAGUGAAAGACGGUUUUGCUGUCACUUAUAGAUGGAUCCGCGCCGCAUUAGCUAGUUGGUAAGGUAACGGCUUACCAAGGCAACGAUGCGUAGCCGACAUGAGAGGGUGAUCGGCCACACUGGAACUGAGACACGGUCCAGACUCCUACGGGAGGCAGCAGCU
rnacentral:rRNA from 1 species